UGUGGGGGAGGGGGGCUAACGGCUGUGCUGGGUUUCAGGAUCCUUUCCCUGCUGUCCACUCUGGUUCUUGAUCCCCGCAGAACAGUCUAGGCCUUUUCCUAUCUCAGCCUUCCCUUCUCUUUGCUUUUUACCCCAGCCCUCCUCCAGCCGCCCUGCCCUCUUUUCAGAACAAGUUCCUCUUUUUUUUUUAAUAUACGCUGACUACAAAACUCUUGCUUCCAACCUCGAAGGUUAACUUCUGUAAAUGUUUUUCUAAAUGGCACUGUUGCCUAGCAACUAUGUUAGAUAAAGAAUUUCCAUGAGGGCGAACAUGUUGGGUGUUGGCCAAGAGCAGGCAGCUGAAGGCGGCACCUCAGGCCUCCUGGCCUCCACCCAAUUCAUUCAAGGAGAAAAUGGGGAUCUGGUGCAAGUUAAAAGUAAUGGGGGCUUAAGGACAGCAAAAGUUGCGUUUGGAAAUUCGCUCAAAAGCCUGAGAGGAAGAACAGGCUGAGGCUUCUCUGGGCCCAGGGGGGCCACAGUAAGAGCCGGCGAGGGGGCUCCCCUUACAGAAGGGUUUGGUCGGUAACCACCACCUCUUCCGCCCCGUCAGCUGCCCUUGGUUUGUCUUCCUGACCCUGGACAUGAAGGGACGCGUAGGACCCAUUGUGUCAAAGUUCGCCGGCUGUCACUAAGUGUCUGGAGGAAACCUUAAGCUCUGGUCUGUUUUGUAUUGUGUGGUGCUGACAGUAAAUGAGAUGCAAAACAGGCUUACAGAUACUCGUAUGUUUCAAGGGUUCAUAUUUAAUUCAAAAUGCACCCCUGCCGCCUGGGAGUGGGCAGAGGAAGGCAGUAAAUUAACAAAAAGUAAAAAGAUGCAAAGGUGUAUGUCUCUGGGAGUGUAGCCUUGACCUUGGACUUGUGGGCGUCCUCUGGGCCACCUUCUGGCCUGCUGGGUCAGACACUGCUUGCUCCGUGCCGCCUUUCCUCUUUCAAAUACCUCUUUCUUAGCUGAGUUCUUGUGUAUAAAAAAGGCUCAUCAUGGGGCGUACAAAUAAAAUUGAGAGAAACUAAAAUCAGUAAUUUUCUGUUACUGGUAUAUUUGCUUCUAGAAUGUUUUUUCUCUUCCUAUGCGUAGGAUACAAAUGUUAAUUAUUUUUUUUUUACAAAAAAGGGAUUAUGCUAUAAAUGUCCUUGCAACUCCUUACACUUGGUAUAUAGUGAACAUCUUUUCCUGGCAUUUGAAAUAUCUUUUGCGGUGACAUAAUCUAUCAUAUGGCUCUGUCAACUUAAACAAAUUUAGAUGACAAGUUAUAUUCCAGUUGUGUCUUCCUCUUAUGAAGUAAAGCUUUGAUGACCCUCCCGGUAGCUCCCCCUUGAUCGCAUCUGGUGGUAUUUGUUCGGGGAAUAUGAGCAUAUGAACUGCGUAUGUCGAACUUAAGACUUUAGGAGCAUUCAUGGUGCUAAAUAGCCUUCCCAGGAGAGAUAGUCUAAAUUAGUGUUCUUAUCAUUGAGGCAAACCUGGCUCUGGCUUCCCUUUCCUACGGUCUUCCAAGGUAUUACUAUAUUAAAAACCUUAAAUCUUUACUGCUAUUGAGACAACAUCGAUGGAUUGGCCAUUUGCAGUGGGGUGUGUGUGUGUGUGUGUGUGACUUGGACUUACCUAAUCGCUCAUUUUCCCCUUGGUUGUUUUGUAGAAACAUAUUACGGAGAUUAAUAACCUAUGUUCAAUGUAAAUACUUUUCCCAGUUUUUAGAUUACCUCUAACCUAAAGGUAAAUGUGUGUUUCAGACAUUGAAAGAGUGGCACCAUUUUUCUGAGGCCCUCACCCUACAGUUUCUGCACUUGGUGUUGUGUUUAGAUCUCUCACCCCAAAAGUAUAUAAAUAUUCAUCUGGGUUUUCUUGUGACGCUUAUGGCUUAAUGUUUUACACCUAAACGUGUACUACAACCGGGGUUUAUUGUGCAGCCGACGGGAGGGAAAGGGGCCGAUGCCCUCCCGGAGCCCCAGAGCUUGCUCCCCUCCUGGUGUCCCCCCUCCUUGUGACUACGAAUUGAGUGGCAGAGUCGAGGGGUGUUGUCACAAUGGGACAGCUCACUGGAGAAGCCCUUGGGGACAGGCAGGCAUCCUCUCCCAGUGGGGGCCUCUGUGACUCCCCAAUUACUCCAUGUGUCCAUCCUCUGGGGGCGAGUGUCCGAAGCAGGUGCGGAAGGAUGAAGCUUUACUGAGGAGAGCCCGAGCGAGUUACUGAGCCCCACCCCCCAGCCGGUUUCCCUCCUCGGGGACCAGAGGCGAUGAGCGUACGUAUGGGGCACACAGCUACUCCUGAUCCGGUGCUUGCGGUGCCGCCGUCCUCUCCUUUGCCUAGCCUCCCAUCCAGCCCCUGCCCCUGGUUCCCCCUCCCUGCCCUUGGCACCUGCCCGCCUGGCUCUGAGCCUUUGGUGACAAUUGGUGUGCACAUUCUGGUCUGCUCUGGUUUUGCAUUUUAGUUUCCCUUUGUUUGCAUUUCCCUGUAGCAAUGGAGUCACCUGCACAUUGGGCAUGGCUUUCUCUCAGGGCUGUUCAUUCCUCCCCAGGAAUGCUUUGGAUGGGCCUAGAGGUCUUCUCCGAAUGUCAGAAACUGUGUGCAGAUGAUUGUGUGUGUGUGAAAAGCAUAAGCUUGCCAAAGAGGUCUGUGACCUCUAAAACUGAUCCAAUGAAAAGCUGCAUUCUUGUAUCCCAUGGUGCUUAUACUGUAGGAUGUUUAGUCCGUCUCUUGAGUUGUAAGCAGAGCCUUGAUUAUUUUAGACUGCCUGCCAUGGGCGUCCGUGAAGGUGGCGCGGGCACGUGCUCCCCACGUGGCCUGGCCCGGUCGGUGAGUGCCCUGUUUUGCAGACUCGGAUGCUCUCCGGAGAGCUUACGCUUCCUCUUGUGAGCAGAUCUAUUUCCCUACAUGGUUGGUAACAUCAAGAUAUUUUCCAUUUUUCUUAUUUUCGAUUGUGGUAAAAUACACAUAACAUAAAACUUAUCUUCUUCAUCAUUUUUAAGUGUACAGUUCAGUAGGGUUAAAUAUAUUGUAGUACAACCAAUUUCUGGAACGUUUUCAUCCAGGAAAACUGAAAUUCCAGACCUGCCAAACUCCCUAUUCCCUUCUUCCUUCCUCCCUCCCUCUCCUGGCAACCCGAGUCUCUGUCUCUGGGAGUUUGACCUUUCUAGGUAGCUCGCGUUAGACUCGUGAGGUACUUGUCUUUUUUGCGAUUGGCUUAUUUUAACUUUGGCAUCGUAUCCUCAGGGUUCAUCUGUGUUAUAACGUGUGUCAAAAUCUUCCUUUUUAAAAGAGCUGAAACGGGCACCUGGCUGGCUCAGUCGGUGGAGCGUGCAACUUUUGCUAUCAGGUUUAGGAGUUUGAGCCCCACGCUGGGUGUAGAGAUUACUUUAAAAAAAAAUAAAAGAGCUGAAAUGUUCCAUCCUAUGUAUGUAACACAUUUGUGUAUCGCCUGUCAGUUAACACCUGGGUGGCUCCCACCAUGUUUUGGCUGUUGUGAGCGAUGCUGGUGGGAACAUGGGUGUGCAAAUAACCCUUUGAAGCCCUGCUUUCAUUUUUUUCGGAGAUAACACUCAGCGGUGGGGUUGCUGGGUCAUAUAGUAAUUCUACUUUUACGUUCUUGAAGAAAUUUCAUACAGUUUUCCACGUGGUCCCCAACACUUGCUAUUUUCUGUUGUUUUAAAUAGCACCCAUCCUAUUGGGUGCGAGGUAAGGUCUCACUGUGGCUUUGGUUUGCAUUUGCCUAAAAGUCCGUGACAUUGAUAAGAUUGUUGGCCAUUUGUAUGUCUUGUUGGGGGCAAUAUCUUUUCAAGUCUUUUGCCCAUUUUAAAAACUAGGCUAUUUUUAAUCAUUAUUGAUUUGUAGUUCUUAAAGUAUAUUCUGGGUAAUAACCCUGUAUCAGAUAUAUCUUAGGAGGAUUUUCUUCCCUGGUGUGGGCUGCGUUUUCAGUAUAUUGAUUAUAUCCUUUGAUGCCCAGAAGGUUCUCAUUCGCAUGAGUCCAGUGUAUCUGUUUUUGCCUUGGUUACCUGUGCUUUUGGUGCCAUGUCCAAGAAGUCAUUGCCAAGUCCAGUGUCGUGAAGUAUUUGUUGCUACCUUUAGAAGCACUUUGGUAGUCUUAAUCCGUGUUUUUGAACUUACUGGGUAGCACGUUUUACCGUUUGACUUACCGUCUGCCUUUUACCUCUUUACCCUUACCGUAUGAAAUUCCAUGUUGAGUUCUAUGAUGAUCGUAAAUUCUUUGUUCAGUUCAGAAGGUAAGCUUUUGCCAGUUCUGAGUGUCAAGCUUACUCCAUUUUUCUCCCCUCUGUUGGUGCAAAAAAUAUCACACAAGGACUUUUAAAACAUCCGUCUACCAAGUCUAACAGUAACAAGUAAGUUAGUUGGUUUUGCUUCUGAUUGCAUUUUCUUUAGUAGCUAAACUGUUUAAGGAGUUAUGAAUCCAACUUAGCAAUGGAUCUAAAUUGAUUAAUUAUACUGAUAAAGUUGGAAUGUCAAACUUCUACUGAGUGGGUCCCGGCUUUGCCCCAGGUCACUGUCAGUGUCUUGUCAUUAACUGUCCAUCUGAAUCCUUUUCUGGAAUUUUUAGCCUCUAGUUUCUGUUGUUUCUAGUCAAAUGCAGCAAAGUUUAAUGACUGUCACUGUUAACUAUGUGUGAAAACCUGGUAAGUGGAGGCUGUGUUACUCCUCUUAAGACAAGAAUAUUCUCCCCUUGUUCGAACUUGAGUACACGAAACUGGACUAAUCUUUGGUUCAUGACAUAACAUGGCUCUCUUUUUUAUUUGCUUCCUUGAUGUUUCUAAGACUGUGGUAAGCAUUUCUGAGUCUAUGCUCUUAAUAUAAAAACUAGGACAGUAGACAGUAGCUUCUUCAACCUGUGUGGUCCUCUUUUCUCCCUGCCUCCUUCUAGGCCAGCGUAAUCACCAUCCUGAAUACUGGGUCUCUCUUUACUCGCUUUCUUUGCGUGUAACUUUUAUACAUUUGUUACUUAAGUGUAUUUUUAAGGAAGCUCCAGGCAUUCACAGCCCCUCCGGACAGCACCGCACAGCAGCUCUACCUAUGUCCGUGGGUCUGGGACUCUCCAUCUUGCGAGGUGGGUUGAGAGUUUCUGCAGCCGAAGGAGAAGAAUGUGCUAAGGAGUUGAGUUACAUCUGAUCAGUCUCUAAAAAACUGCUGUCUGAACCAGAACUGAGCAUCAGAUAGUGUCUGACCUAUUUAGACCUCACAAGACUCUGCGUCUACUUCUGGCGUUCUUUCCUCUAAGGAGGUUGAAAAACAAAUGCUUCUAGGACAGCAGUUGUGACAUUUGCCAAAAGUGGUGUUUAGUUAUAUCUUAUUUGUUUGGUCGGUUGGAAUCUUCUCACCUGGCAUCUGGGUUCUCCUUUACGUGCUUCCCCUCAGUGGCCCCCCAGGCCCAGGGGCACAGGCGUGAGCUCUGCUCUGUCUCUUACUCUCCUAAUAGGGUCCUGGGGAGCUUGACGCUGGGAACCACGAGGCCCAGGAUCUAUCCCCGCAGCCUGAUUCUUGCCCCCUUAGCCUCUGGGGUAAUUGUACCCUGUCCCCCGACUCCUGUGUCGAUGUAACAGCUGUGUGACCGGCUGUCUGUGUGUCAGCCAGGCCUGCCUCUGCCUCCUGCUCACCCCGCUGGCUUUCUUCCCGUUUGUUUCAAGGUGUAGAAAAUGUUCGAAGUAAUAUGCGCACGUGUUAAAAAUUCAAACAUCUUUCUCUAGCCUCCAGCCUCCCUUCCCACAGAGGCAGCAGUCAUGGCCAGCUGGCUUGAGUUUCCUUCCAGAUAAUCCGGCGCGCGUACUCCCCUACGGAGUCCUGGUAUACCGCGCACCCCCCUCGCACUUUGGACCCUUGGGUUAACAGUGCGUCUCGGAGCUCACUGCGUAUCUUUUUAUGGCCUACCUUGGGCUUCUCGAAAUGUAUCCAUGUGGUAGUCCGUGUUUGAAUUAGCCAUCUUCCCUUGUGAGGAGCAAUUAGAUGAUUUCUCACAAUUCUUACCACGUAUGAAGCUAUACGGAGUUGUGUGUCAGGCUAUGCUGAGUAUCAGUCUGUGUGUUUUUGUGCAUGUGGGCAACUGUGCCUUUGGGGGAAGCUCUCUGGGUCAUGGUCUGUGUGUCUUUCUGAAUAUGACGGGCACGGCCAGCCUACGUGCUCUGUAGUCACGUUCCAUUUGACAUUUCCCGGCACUUUACCAGUGCGUGUUCUUAAACUUGGUUGUCAGUGUGAGAAGUAAAAAUAGCAUUUCACGGUAGCUUUGAGUUCUAUUGCUACUGGGCUGGGGACUUACAGAUUUUCAAGAGAUUUUUAUAUAGUGAAGAAAUUAGCCCUUUGUCACUGAUGCCACAAUACUUUCCUGUUUGUCGUUGAUCUCGAGUGCUAAAAUGUUGCUGUUCAGAUGUAACAUGUAAUGUACCAUAUGUAAAUGUAAUGUAAAUAUACUUAUGUGUCGAUGUUUUCUUUUGUGGCUUCCAGGUUUUAUGGCUCAGGCUGUGAAGCCCCCCGCCCCCCGACCUUCCCCCACCCGGUGCCAGCAGCAGCAGGGGGGCCCUGCAGCCCGGCCUUGGGCCUUGGCCAUUUGGGUUUUAUCUUUACUGACUGGAAGGCAAACACCAGUGUCGCCCUGGACAAAAAGUUUCCGCUUGUUGAUUCUGUGCAGGUGAAUGAACACUGUUGGCUGACGGAUGUGGCUGCUCGUGCUUCAGUGAUGUUUUCACCUCCUGAGAACCCUUUACCUGAGGACAUUAACCUCGAAUAUUCCAGAACACUGUUCAAGUUUGUGUUUGCCUUUUGUUUCCCUUGUUUUUUAGGUUGAUGCACAAUGUUGCGGUGGCUUCAAACUGUAAUUUGCCUUUUAAAUUUACUUGUUGGGUGUUGCCAAGGGUUUUAAGCUAAGUCAAGUCCAUUAUUUUCAUCAUGGUUUCAUACUUUGAUGUCUGCUCUGGUUCUCACUGGCUUCCUGGGGCUUUCAUUUUUGACAUUUGACAUAACUCUUUAAUCGACUUAGAAGCUGGGUUGGUGUGUGUGCUGCAUGAGGUAAGAAUCCAGUUAAUUCAAGAUGGUCAACCAAUUUGCCCGGAGCUGCUCCCUGAUUGAUGCUUUUUCUCUACUGAUCCGAAACUGGUUAGUUAUGUACUAAGUACUUUUAAUAUAAUUGAGUCUGUUUCUGAACUUUCUAGUCUGUUCCGCCGAUCUGUCUUUCCUCUGCCGGUCAGUCCAGUGUUUUCAUUAUGUUAGCUUUAUCACAUCUGAUGGUAAAAUGUGGUCCUUCAAAGCCGUGGCAUUCUUUUAAGGUAUUCUGAUUUUUACUGGAAUUGCAUUAUGUUUAUCGAAAUGCUGACAUUGCGACUUUCCAUUUAGGAAUGAGCCCAUCGCCUCCCGUUUGUUUAGGAUCAGAUGAUUUUCAUUCUCAGAAAUUUUAGACCUCUCUUGUACAAGUUAUGGACCUUUGUGAAGUUUGCUCCUAGAUAUGUGAUAUUUUGUGUUGUGAUUAGAUAUAUUUUUCUAUUAAAAUUCCCGAGUAUGGUAGUAUAUGAUAAGACUUGUUUUAUAGAUGUACAUUAUUUUGAAAAUAAAUAGGCUGAUUAUGAAGGCCAGGUGGAGGAUAAUAUAGUCUCCGGGCUAAAAGGGCAUGCUUUUGAGUCCGAUGACCCUGCUCUCAUGUUUGACUAGUCCUUUAUUUAUUUUCUAUGCGACCAGCUCUUUGCCUCAGUUUCUCCAUUUGUAAGAAGGGAGAAUAUAUUAUCUAUAAGAAUUGGGAUGAGAGUUUAAUGAAAUAAAUAGGCCUUGUGCUCAGUGCUCGCUGACGCAGAGUAGCACUGCUCUACCGGACUUUCAAAGCAAGCGUCAUCUUGAAUGCUUCCGUCAUCCGUGUGGUUUAUUCCAUUUCUCAUGCUUCUCUCCCGUCUUGCUGGCGCUGGCUGUAAUCACUAAUGAGCUGUGAGCAUCAUGGUCUUGCUCCCACCCCGUCUGCUGGCGGGUCUGUCGGCAGCUAGAGAAGGGGCGGCCUGGCUCUGGGGUGCACACGAGCCCCCAGCAGCACACGUCAGGUUCCCACUGGGUGUCCGUCCUCCUGAUGGCCCUCAGUUGGAGUGAUCUGCUGAUAGACAGCCUAAAACUUUAAUAUUCACAGAUUUGUUUUACCAUAUAUUUGAAAAUGGCUGGUUUGCUAUUUAUGGUGGUAAUACAUUUCCUUUUAAAAGGAAUUUUAGUUUUUCUCUUCUUAAUUGAACUAUCCCUCAAGAUAAGACAAGAGUCAUAUUGUCGAAGUGCACAAUCCAGUGGGUUUUACUAUGUUCACUGUGUUGCGCCACCAUCACUAUUAUCCCAUUUCCAGGCCUUUUCAUUUUCCCAAAAAGAAGCCUGCCACCCAUAAAACAAUAACCUCCCUCCCUCCUCCCGGUUCCCUUCCCCCCUCCUGCAUUUUCAUUAUUGUAACUGAUCAGAGUCUGUUUGCAAUAGAUGUGAAGGUGAAGACUACGAGGGGCGCUGAUUUGACGGAGGCUCGGGACGGGCAAGAACUCGGCAGGAGCAGCUUCUGCUGCAGAACUUGCUUGGUUGGUGUUCCUCCUCCUGGUUCCUAAUAACUGUACUUUCUGUCUCUACGAAUUUGCCUGUUCUAGGUUCCUCGCAUGAACGGAAUCGCACAUUUGUCCUUUGUGUCUGUCUUAUUUCAGUUAGCACAGCGCCUGCAAGUUUCAUUCACGUUGCCGCAUGUAACAAUAUGUCUUCCCUUUGUGAGGCUGCGUGCUGUCUGGUGCUGUGGCUGCACCACAUUUUGUCUCUCCCGUCAUCAGUUGGACAUUGGGGUUGUUUUCGCGCAUUUGGCUAUUAUGAAUAAUGCUCCUAUUCACUUUUUAUGUGAAUUUUUUUUUACAUGGUCUUUAGUGUUUGCCUUGCAGGGGAAGUGCGGUGUCAGCUAACUCUGUGCUUAACUUUUUGAGGAUCCGCCAAACUGCCUCCCAAUGUGGCUGCGCCAUUUUACAUUCCCGCCGUUAAUUGAUGAAGUUUCCAAUUUUUCUACACCCUCAACCCUUGUUCUUAUUUGGCUCUGUGUGUGUGUGUGUGGUUUAUAUAAGCUCUAUACCCAGUGUGGGAUUUGAACUCACAACCCCGAGUCGCAUGCUCAUCCACACAAACAGCCAGGCACCUCUCCCUCUGGCUUUUUGAUCAUAGGCAUCCCAAUGGGUGUGAAGUGGUGUCUCCUGUGAUUUUGAUUUGCAUCUCUCAUGACUGAUGAUGUCCAGCACCUUUUCAUACGCCUGUUGGCCACGUCUAGAUCCUCUCUAGAGAACUGUCUAUUCUGACCCUUUGUCCCCUCUUCAAUCGAGUGUUCACCUUUUCAUUAUUGAAUUUUAAGAGUUCGCUGUAUAUUCUGGAUACUGGACCCUUAUCACGUUUUUCCCUUCUUGGGGUCACAUUUCCACUUUCUUGGUAGUGUUCUUUGACAUAAAAUGAAUUUAUAUUUUAAAAAUAACUUGAUUGGGGGGGAACUAGGACUGGCUAUACUCAGAUGUCGCAAAAAAUGUCCAGCUGUCAUGUGAAUGAUUAAGGUUUGGGGGCAGAGGAAAGAGGGUUCCGAUCCUGUGAUGGGAAGUGGGUGGGCACCCUUCCUGUGCGAGGUCAGUGGGCGCCGCCUGGUGCAUGUGCCGGGGUCAGCUCGUCAGCGGGCUUGAGGUGCUUAGGAGGUUUGGUUUCUUAGGUCCAGUAAUGGAUCCCGGAUUUAUUCAGAUGUCUCUCAUACAUCUUCUUCCUCCCCCGAGCAUCGAGUUUUUCUCCCUUCAUUCUCUUGUAAUUAAUGACAUCAUGGAAUAUUCCAGCCUCCUGUGAUUUCCGAAACACCGUGCCCAGGCCCGGAGCUGUUUUCUGCCAACACAGAAAUGAAUCAGGGGGUCUGCUUCUAACCUCAGGGCGCCGUCAGGCCGGUUUUGGUAUCGGGACCUCAGAAAAGGCAGAGAACAGCGGCUAAGAGCAGAGCUUUGGGCUGGACAACUGCAUUUCUAGUCCCUGCUUUGCCACCCAUCAGCGCGUGACAUUGGCCCCUUUUCUAAAAUCCUUGAAGCCACUCUCCUUGAUAAAAGGGGGACAGAACUAAAGUUAGAACAUAACUCGUGGUUUGUGUGAGGCUGAGCGAGGGGUCGCACGGCCCAGGUCCUGGGAGCGAGGGGCGCUGCCGUGUCCUGUCCGUCAGGCUCCCGCCUGGGUACAGAGGACCGAGCACAGAGUCCUGUACCGCCGCCCGAGCUGCCACUCUGGAGAUUCCGUGUUCUUUGCAAACUUCCAGUUUCCUUCCGAGUUUCCGAGUCCGUAUUUCUAUUUCAUCGUAAGUCAAUUUUUUUAAAUUAAGUUUUCUAAGAAAAUUUCCGUUUUAAAUAUAUAUUAGUGUAGAGCAUUUUUUAUUUGCAUUUUAAUAUCCUUGUCAAUGGUUUUCAGGAGUGGGAGUAAAAAUUGUUUUCACUUUUUAUUCCUAGUUUAUCUUUAACAGACUUUCAAGAAAUCUACUUUUUUGGCUUUUUCAAAGAAGCAGCUUUAAGUAGAAAACGCAAUUCUGCUUUAAUAUUGUAAUUUAUUAACUUCUGCUUUUAUUUCAUUAAUUCUCCUGCUCUCCUUGGAUGUUGUUUUGUUCCUUUUUCCACAGUCUUGCCCCGCGUGCUUAACGCGGAGGGCGGGGGAGGCAGAGCGCGGUCAGGGAGGCUGAGGCAGGAGGCGGUCCUGCUCUAGCCCCACUGUGACCACAGACAGAGCCCUCAGAUGCCGACGUGUGGACCCUCAGUCAGGGAGGGAACUGACGCCCGCCCCCCCACAUAUACGUCCGCCACCAGAGGAUGCCCGGAGGCCAGCUAGUGGCCAGGGCCCAGCGGGAGCAUGGGGGGCAUUCUGGCGAGCCGCCGUUGCUUCGGUCCACAGUUCCAGUGUCUAACGGUCACUCCGACGACCUCCUCCGUGUCCAGAUACUCAGCUGGUCUCCACAGACAUAGGCAGGUUCUGUUUUAAUGAAUGGUUACCUGAGGAAGCGCCCGGUACAAUUUCUGCCUUUUUGGAUCUGUGGCUCCCUUUCAUCACUGCCUAAGGUACGGUUAUUUUUAUAAAUGUUCCAUGGCAUUCGAGAAAGUAUGCUCUGUCACAUUCCAUAUUCUGGAUCCGUCCCUCUCCAUGGUUUUGGGCGCAGUCCAAAGCCACGCCGUCCCUAUGUAAUGCGAAGCGUGAUUACAUUUCCCCCACCACUCCUGGCUCUCCGCUGCCUCCCAGGACUGCUCCGCAGUUCUGUUCUGUGUGUUUUGCUGCAGUGUAUUUGGCAUGUGGAGAGUCCAGCCCUGCCGCGUGGAGGGCUUGGUGUUGACGGGGCAGCCGGGAACCACCCUGUCCCCACCCCACCUUACUGUCUUGGCAGGGUGAAUGAAGUACCUGGGUGUGGGAAUUUUCAACUGUUGAAUUUUGAAACCAUUUUUCCAUCUCUCGUCUGUUUCCUGCCCGUGUCACGUGUUCAUUUUACACAGUUGUGAUCAGGCGCUAUUUUGCUUCCUCCACUUCAGGCUAUGUUGUAGGCACAGUGACUCGUGCUGAAAUAAUCCGCCUGUUCUGGCUGAAUUCUCUGGGGGAUUCCGGGGUGUGAGCCUGUCAGUGUCACCUCAUGUGGGCUGGUUCCAGCAUUCUGUCACCCUAAAUGACACCGGCACAGAUGUCUUGGGGCAAAUCCUCUUUUAUACCCCCAGGCUGCUUUUGGUUUGGUCCCAGUCCCCACCGGCCGGAGGGAAGGGCCGGAAUUGCUCGGUUCUCUUCGCUCACUGCCCCGGUCCAUGUGUUCGCAAGGGGCCGGUUACACACUCCUGUUGUGCCCACGGCCCCGCCAACACAGUUCUUUCUGUUUGUGACUGUGAGUGCGGAGUGCUUCCUUGAAGCCAUUUUAAUUUUCACCGGCGUCGCGUUUUCCUGUGUAGGUGACUCUCUGAGUUUCCUGACGCAGACGCCUUGAGGGUCGUGUCACUAACGUGUUGAAUUAAUUCUUUGCUCAUCUUACAGACUGUGUUUUGACUCCCCCCAUUUCUGAGGCCUUUUAAGGUCAGAGCUUUGUUGCUUCGUCAGGUUGGGACUUAGAUGGCUAUGCACGGUUCCUCUCUCCUGCCGCAAUAAGUAAGUGCCUGUCCCUUGUGGUGUGUUUGGGGGGUGGAGCCCUGAAGAGAAGCCAGGAGGGGAGAUGGGCAGCCUAGGAGGGUGGGGGCGGUGAGGGAGAUGGGUGAAGGGGGUGGAAGCCUGGCUGUGAGCCCACCCUGUGGUCCCCAGACCUCGGUGUGUGUGUGUGUGUGUGACUGUGUGUGUGUGUGUGCGCGUGUGCGUGUGUGUGUGUGUGUGUGUGUGUGUGUGUGAGAGAGAGAGAGAGAUGUGGGACUGGCUCUGCCUGCAGAGCAUCCCUCGGGACUAGUAGGACCCGUUCUCAGCCCGAGCUGGCGUGACCCUGAACAGGACCCAGCCCCCUCUGAGCCUGCCCUUCUCCAGACCCCGCUCCUGAGCUCCUCAGGGUUGGCAGGCGGGGUCCAGUGGCCAGGACUCCCGGAGGAGGACCGCAGAGCUGGGGGUGCUCCCGCUGGACCCGCCGCAGGCCCACAGGAGGCAGAGACCGGCCUGGGAGCAGCAGGCUGGGAGGGUGGCCCCAGGGCACGUAAACUGGCCAAGGGACCAGGAUGGGCUUCCUGUUGCUCCUGUCUCUGAGGCCCUGGUGCCUGGGACCCUCCUCUCGGGGGACUCAGACACCGGGCCAGAGGCUGGUGGGGGCACUGUGCUACUGACUUCGUUUUCAGGCAGUGGCAGUUAUGCAGGAAGGACCCACAGCCGACAGCGGUGGGGAGGGCGAGGCAGGUUGGCUAGACUGCGUGGCCCCGCACAGCAGGGGCCCAGCACACGUAGAGGACUGCUGGCAUUGGAGCUCGGCCAGGGCGCCUAAAAUUCCCUCUAGUUCUUAGAUUUCCUGUUAUGGAUGACAAAUGUGAAAUUUUUACCUUUAAUUAUAAAAGUAAUCUGCAUAGAGGUAAAAAUUCAAGCCAUGGAAAAGGUGAUAAAGUGGAAGUAAAAUCCCUCUCCCCUCACCCAUCCCAGCCCUAAUACAGAGAGGUUGUUUGCUCACAUUUCUUAGCAUCUUUCUGGAAAUUUCCAUCCACAAAUGAGACUUGUCACUGCUGACAUUGCCCUUCAGUGAGCAGGACCAUAACUCGUGGUUCCGUUUUCCCCGGACUUCUCGAGCUCCUGCCUUCGGCACAGCAGGAAACGUGUGACCGUGAGGCCAAGGGGACGUGUCCCCUGGCUGCACCUUGGACAGGGCUGCCAGGGCAGGGAGGGGGACCUGGGAGGGAGGGAGGCCCGGAGCCGCCGCAGGUGUUUCUUUUACUGGACGCGGCCCAUGGCCGCGUUCAGGUUUUGCUUUUCACCUUUGAGUCUGUGAGAAAAUGAGUAGGAAAAAGCAAAA